UCACCACAGCCUUGACCUUGGGUCUGAUU
rnacentral:piRNA from 1 species